AACGAACGCUGGCGGCAUGCCUAACACAUGCAAGUCGAACGAGACCUUCGGGACUAUUGGCGCACGGGUGCGUAACGCGUGGGAACCUGCCCUUAGGUUCGGACUAACUCCCCGAAAGGGGUGCUAAUACCGGAUAAUGUCUUCGGACCAAAGAUUUAUCGCCUUUGGUUGGGCCCGCGUUGGAUUAGCUAGUUGGUAGGGUAAAAGCCUACCAAGGCGACGAUCCAUAGCUUGUCAGAGAGGAUGAUCAGCCACACUGGGACUGAGACACGGCCCAGAAUCCUACGGGAGGCAGCAGUGGGGAAUAGUGGAAAAUGGGCGAAAGCCUGAUCCAGCAAUGCCGCGUGAGUGAUGAAGGCCUUAGGGUUGUAAAGCUCUUUUACCCGGGAUGAUAAUGACAGUACCGGGAGAAUAAGCUCCGGCUAACUCCGUG
rnacentral:rRNA from 1 species